ACGGGUGUGGUGAAAUUAGUUCUUCGGAACGUGGUAAACACGCAACACUUUGGGGUUGUGAAUGAAACAAAUCUUCUUUUAGAUGAUAAGUAGUAAUUCUUGGGGGUUCGACUCCGUCCACCCGUACCA
rnacentral:tRNA from 1 species